rnacentral:rRNA from 1 species
GGACGGGAUCGGGGAGCUUGCUCCCUGUGAGAGUGGCGCACGGGUGCGUAACACGUAUGUAACCUACCUUAGUCAGGGGGAUAGCCUCUCGAAAGAGAGAUUAAGACCGCAUAACAUCAUGAAGUGGCAUCGCUUUAUGAUCAAAUAUUUAUAGGACUAAGAUGGGCAUGCGCAACAUUAGCUAGUUGGUGUGGUAACGGCAUACCAAGGCUACGAUGUUUAGGGGAUCUGAGAGGAUGACCCCCCACACUGGUACUGAGACACGGACCAGACUCCUACGGGAGGCAGCAGUAAGGAAUAUUGGUCAAUGGACGGAAGUCUGAACCAGCCAUGCCGCGUGCAGGAAGACGGCCCUACGGGUUGUAAAC